GAUGAACGCUGGCGGCGUGCCUAAUACAUGCAAGUCGAGCGAACAGACGAGUAGCUUGCUCCUCUGACGUUAGCGGCGGACGGGUGAGUAACACGUGGAUAACCUACCUAUAAGACUGGGAUAACUUCGGGAAACCGGAGCUAAUACCGGAUAAUAUAUUGAACCGCAUGGUUCAAUAGUGAAAGACGGUCUUGCUGUCACUUAUAGAUGUAUCCGCGCCGCAUUAGCUAGUUGGUAAGGUAACGGCUUACCAAGGCAACGAUGCGUAGCCGACCUGAGAGGGUGAUCGGACAAACUGGAACUGAGACACGGUACAGACUCCUACGGGAGGCAGCAGUAGGGAAUCUUCCGCAAUGGGCGAAAGCCUGACGGAGCAACGCCGCGUGAGUGAUGAAGGUCUUCGGAUCGUAAAACUCUGUUAUUAGGGAAGAACAAAUGUGUAAGUAACUAUGCACGUCUUGACGGUACCUAAUCAGAAAGCCACGGCUAACUACGUG
rnacentral:rRNA from 1 species